UAAACAAAAAGUGAAGAACAUCCUCAAAAAGCUUUCUAAUCUAGUUUUUCCACUAGCUCUCCAAUGGCUUCCCCUAUAGGAAGAGCACACUUCUG